GACGAACGCUGGCGGCGUGCUUAACACAUGCAAGUCGAACGAAGUGGCGAACGGGUGAGUAACGCGUAAUCAACCUGCCCUUCAGAGGGGGACAACAGUUGGAACCGACUGCUAAUCCCGCAUACUGAAGGAGGGGAUUGCGUCUGAUUAGCUAGUUGGAGGGGUAACGGCCCACCAGGGCGAUGAUCAGUAGCCGGUCUGAGGGGAUGAACGGCCAAAUUGGGAAUGGGAAACGGCCCAGGAUUCUACGGGAGGCAGCAGUGGGGAAUUUUCCGAAAUGGAGGAAAGUCUGGCGGAGCAACGCCGCGUGAGUGAGGACGGCCUUCGGGUUGUAAAGCUCUGUUAAUCGGGACGCGGUACCGGAAUAGAAAGCCACGGCUAACUACGUGCCAGCAGCCGCGGUAAUAC
rnacentral:rRNA from 1 species